UGAAUACGAGACGCUAAGGCGUCGAAGUAGUGUAUGUCAUACUUCCAAGAAAAGCUUGCACUGUCAUAAGUAAAAAAUGCCUGUACCAUAACCGACACAGGUGGGUAGGUAGAGUAUACUAAGGGGCGCGAGAUAACUCUCUCUAAGGAACUCGGCAAAAUGACUCCGUAACUUCGGGAGAAGGAGUGCCUUAUUUAUAAGGUUGCAAUAACAAGAUCCAAGCAACUGUUUAUCAAAAACACAGGUCUCCGCUAAGUCGUAAGACGAUGUAUGGGGGCUGACGCCUGCCCAGUGCCAGAAGGUUAAAGAAGUUGGUUAGUGUAUGCGAAGCUGAUGACUGAAGCCCUGGUGAACGGCGGCCGUAACAAUAACGGUCCUAAGGUAGCGAAAUUCCUUGUCGGGUAAGUUCCGACCCGCACGAAAGGCGUAAUGAUUUGGAUACUGUCUCGGAGAGAGGCUCGGUGAAAUAGACUUGUCUGUGAAGAUGCGGACUACCUGCACCAGGACAGAAAGACCCUGUGAAGCUUUACUGUAACUUGAAAUUGGAAUUGGACUUUGCUUGCGCAGUAUAGGUGGGAAGCGUUGAAGAUAUUCUUGCGGGAGUAUUGGAGCUAUCAGUGAGAUACCACUCUUGUAAUGUUAGAUUUCUAACUUUGAACCAUAAUCUGGUCAAAGAACAGUUUCAGGUGGGCAGUUUGACUGGGGCGUUCGCCUCCCAAAUGGUAACGGAGGCGUACAAAGGUUUCCUCUGAACGGAUAGAAAUCGUAUCUAGAGUGUAAAGGCAUAAGGAAGCUUGACUGUGAGACCUACAAGUCGAGCAGGGACGAAAGUCGGUCUUAGUGAUCUGACGGUACUGAGUGGAAAGGCCGUCACUCAACGGAUAAAAGUUACUCUAAGGAUAACAGGCUGAUCUCCCCCAAGAGUUCACAUCGACGGGGAGGUUUGGCACCUCGAUGUCGGCUCAUCGCAUCCUGGGGCGGUAGUACGUCCCAAGGGUUGGGCUGUUCGCCCAUGAAAGCGGUACGCGAGCUGGGUUCAGAACGUCGUGAGACAGUUCGGUCCAUAUCCGGUGUAGGCGUUAGAAUAUUGAGAGGAGCCUUCUUUAGUACGAGAGGACCGAGAAGGACACACCGCUGGUGUACCAGUUAUCGUGCCAACGGUAAACGCUGGGUAGCUAUGUGUGGAGUGGAUAACCGCUGAAAGCAUCUAAGUGGGAAGCCCACCUCAAGAUGAG
rnacentral:rRNA from 1 species